rnacentral:miRNA from 1 species
UGGAAGACUAGUGAUUUUUGUU